UACGAAGGGGGCUAGCGUUGUUCGGAAUUACUGGGCGUAAAGCGCACGUAGGCGGAUUGUUAAGUGAGGGGUGAAAUCCCAGGGCUUAACCUGGGGGCUGCAUUUGAUACGUGUGAUCUAGAGUGAGGAAGAGGGUUGUGGAAUUCCCAGUGUAGAGGUGAAAUUCGUAGAUAUUGGGAAGAACACCGGUGGCGAAGGCGGCGACCUGGUCCUUAACUGACGCUGAGGCGCGAAAGCGUGGGGAGCAAACAGG
rnacentral:rRNA from 1 species